CUUCUCUUGUGCUCCGCACAGGUACAAACACACGGACAGAACGCGCCGCAAGGGCAAGUCCAGCACAUGUCUAUUGCGGCAUCGAAAUCGACGAGAGCAUGUUUUCCUUUCACUUUUUUUUUGUGACGUUGGAACUGCGUGUCACCGCUCGCCGCUUCUUUCGGGCGAUGCCGACCACUGCUACGCCACGUCGCGGUGUCGGACAGACUCCACUUUCUCCUGCCCACUAGCUCAUCUUGACGUGCGCCACGCCAGGUAUAUCAGCGCUGGUACCUUACGCCUCCGCCGAUGCUGCCAUAACCCGCUGCUGCCGCUGACUCAUAUGAUGCGGUGGUGGGGCCGCUUCUCAUCACCUUUGGUUUUUUUUCUUUCACGCGAAAGGCAGGCAGGCAGACGCUGCGCGUGACAACUCAGAGUGUGCACUGCAUUCCGCAAGGCCCCACCCCCUUCUCGCAUGCGGAAAGAAAGAAAAAAGGCAAGAAAAAAAAAGAGACUUGCGUUGCACGCACGAUACGCAAACUCUCUUGCGGGGCGCACAGACACCGACGCGCGCAACCGGUGUUCCUGCGCACAUUGCUUGCGGGGCGAAGGCCCUUAUCCAAGGUGGAGAUACGGGUAACGAAAGCCGAAGCCUCUUUUUCACCGAAGAUGGGUGACGCUUACGACUUCUCAUCAACCUUAGAAGGGUCUUUGUGGUGGUCUUUCACCGUGAACAAGUCGCACCAUGUGGUGGGCUCCGUAUCCCACUGGUGUCUACAUUUUCGGCGCCCCCCACCACGCCGCCGUGAUCGAUGGACUCUCUGUCCUUGGACGGCUCCUCCGUUCGUUUUUCUUCUCCCCCUCCUUCUUUCCCUCUUGCGGCGCAUUCAUUCUGCUGCGCUCUCAUGGCGCACUCCAUCGUCAUCUCCCGCUUUCCUCGCCCCCACCCCCACGUGUUGAUAUGCUUUUGCGAUGUUCUCUCUCUGUGACAUGCGCCGCCGCACGUUGUCCCACACACACACACACACAUUCCCUCCUGCGUGCACAUGCGCUGCCACUGCAUCCUGCAUGCGUUCUGCAACCAUCGUCAAACGAUGACCACCACACACUAUUGGGGUUGCGCAAG
rnacentral:misc_RNA from 1 species